UACGUAGGGGGCGAGCGUUGUCCGGAAUUAUUGGGCGUAAAGAGCGUGUAGGCGGUUCGGUAAGUCUGCCGUGAAAACCUGGGGCUCAACCCCGGGCGUGCGGUGGAUACUGCCGGGCUAGAGGGUGGUAGAGGCGAGUGGAAUUCCCGGUGUAGCGGUGAAAUGCGUAGAUAUCGAGAGGAACACCUGCGGCGAAGGCGGGUUGCUGGGCUGACACUGACGCUGAAGCGCGAAAGCUAGGGGAGCGAACGGG
rnacentral:rRNA from 1 species